GGGAGAGGAAUGGGGCAGCUUUGAGGGGACGAACAGGAAGCCAUUCGCUGUCAGCUGGAAGGGUGUCUGCCUGGUCUCACAGGCCUGGGCGUACAGGAGAACCCACACCAUCCAGGCAGACACACGGGAACACACAACCUACAGAAAUCAGCCUGCUGUGAAGCAUGAAUUCUUGGCUCAACCUGUGUGCAGGCCAAAGUGGCCCAGAGAAAACCUUCACUAUCUCUCAGGGCCCGGGACAAUCUUCAUGCUGACUGCUGGAGACCUCAUUUCACUCUGUAGGAAGUGAAGGGAGUUCUUCCCUGCCUCUGAGCUGCUUUUCUGGAUGAAACCUUUGCUACAGAUCUGAGGACGCACAGAGCAUCCUCCCCAUGCCUGACUAUUCUGCCCAGAUCCCCACCCACUGCCCAGGGAGGUACCAAGGAGUCACGUAUGUCAGCAGGACACAGGAGCCAGCUGUACGGGACUUGUCAACCACCUGGGGCCUAGGCAGGCUCAGGUGCUACCAGAUAGCGUCUCACUAAGUUGCACAGGCUAGCUUGGAACUUGCAAUCCUCCUGCCUCAGUCUCCCAAGCACCUGGACUACAGGGCUUCACUGUUUUGGAGCAGAUCCAGGGAGCCACAAAGCACAAUCUUUGCAGGCCUCCUCUGCCCACUGACCUGGAAUGAGACUCUGCAGGGGGCCCACGGCCUGCCAACAUUUUGCUUCUGCUCAGUGACCAACAAGGGACUCUGCUGUUCUCUGAAACCAACACCAGUCUGGCCAGUCAAGCAAGUACUUUCCAAACUAGAACAAUUAGAUUCAGCUACCAUCCUUCCUAGGAGGCCCUGCUAUGUGGUGAUCAAAGACAUGAAUAAAUGUUUGCAAAAUAAAAA